rnacentral:rRNA from 1 species
CGCGUGAGCAACCUACCCAUAUCACGGGGAUAGCCCGGCGAAAGUCGGAUUAACACCGCAGAACAUUAGUAGAUGGCAUCAUUUAUUAAUCAAAUAUUUAUAGGAUAUGGAUGGGCUCGCGUGACAUUAGCUAGUUGGUAAGGUAACGGCUUACCAAGGCUUCGAUGUCUAGGGGCUCUGAGAGGAGAAUCCCCCACACUGGUACUGAGACACGGACCAGACUCCUACGGGAGGCAGCAGUAAGGAAUAUUGGUCAAUGGAGGGAACUCUGAACCAGCCAUGCCGCGUGCAGGAUGACUGCCCUAUGGGUUGUAAACUGCUUUUAUACGGGAAUAAACCUAGGUACGUGUACCUAGCUGAAUGUACUGUAAGAAUAAGGAUCGGCUAACUCCGUGCCAGCAGCCGCGGUAAUACGGAGGAUCCAAGCGUUAUCCGGAUUUAUUGGGUUUAAAGGGUGCGUAGGCGGCUAAUUAAGUCAGGAGUGAAAUACGGCAGCUCAACUGUCGCAGUGCUUUUGAUACUG